UGGUGUGCAGGCAAUAGGCAUACAUCACCACUUUGUUCUUUAUGGUCUGAUGGAGUAUCUGGGCAGAAGCUUUGACCGACAGUUCCUGGCGGAUGAGGUUCUGCAUCUACUGGAUGAGAUGCUGGUGAGUAAUCCUUGAAGCCAAGAUUUGACUAUUGUGAUGCUAUAUAGCUAUGGCUUCUAAUCUGGCUGCUAUUAGAAUCCUGCUGUGAAUCUCUGAUGGUUUAAUCUGUUGCCUCUGGAUUUUUAUCAGAAAUCAGAUGACAUUGACAUUCUUAACCACUAGAAAGACUUUACCUUGCCUCAGAGUUUCUUUGAUAUGGAAGAACAGUGACAAAAGAAGAAGUGUUCUUUGCUUCCUUUCCACGCCUCUUUCUGUAUAUGGUUGGUUAGGUUUGUCCCCAGCUCUUAAGAUAAGUCCUCUUGUAUAUUCUUCAGUAUUAAUAUAGAACCAUCGGAGCACUACUGAUCUUUUUAACUCUGUCAAAUAGUUUAAUAGAAACAAGCUUUUUGUUCUCUUUUCAUGAUGUCAUUUAGAUCGGUUGUGUUUGUUUAUUUCGAUGGAUGGAAAAUUUUAACUAUGCAGCUGAUUGGUCUGUAUAUUGGAAAUGUAAAAUGUAUCUGAUCAAAUCAAAUAACAUAAAUAGGAUAUUUGAUAUCAUGAGAUUGACAACAAAAGAAAGAACGAAAAAUGUAAUUUGAAAAAAAAACAGUAUAGGAUUGAAUUCAAUUGUCUCUUAUCUCAUCUUCCUUCUGAUGAAACCAAGCUAUGCAACUUAAUAGAAAUGCCUUAUUCAACUUCCAAAGCCUUUGAUCAGUUCUGAAAAAAAAAAAAAACUACAUGAUCUUUUGACCCAAACAAGAACAGUUCAUACUCAUUAUUACAUGUUGAUUACCUCAGUGGCUUCUGCAGACUUAGCCUCUUCUUUCUUGGGUUCAUCGGUCUUGAUGUUUUCUCCUGAAAAUAAAUCAAGAUCCAUUAUUAAACCAUCUCCAUAGUAGGUAAAACGAACACAUAGUCUCUACUAAGGAAUACACUCACACACCUCCACUUCUCUUUCAACUUAUGGUAUUUUCUUCUCAUGAGUGUAUAUGAGCAAUACAAUUGAAAAUCAUAUAAGCUAAUUAUUGUCAAUGACCCCGCGCUUACGCGGGGCCAAGCUCCUAGUUAAAUAAUAAGGAGACAGUGAGUGGAAAUCAGUGCGGUAAAAAAGACGUCACUUUGUAUUUAUAGUUUAAAUUUCGGUGCGGUAAAAAAGAAAAAUUCCGUGUUUCAUUUGCUUUUCUUUUCAAAGCCUUUCAUUUCAUUUGUUUAAGAUCAGUUAAUACAAAACCAUGAUUGCUUAAUAACUAUCGCAAGCGACCUUUGAUUUUUGAAGAGUUGCAUCUUUCCAUAACCUUAACCAUUGUACUUUUUUCACAACAUAAAAGUUGUAUCUUCUCUAAGAUUCUACUAUCAAACCUCUUCAAAAUAGGAACUGUUAACAAAUUUAUAUAUGUUCUGUUUUUCCAUUACGUGACCAUUUUUUAUUUAUUUAUUUUGAUGUACGUGCGAAGUUAGUUAGAAAAAUAUCGUCUUCCUCAAAACUUCAUUCUUUAUUUUUGUUAUACUUACCUAUAGAGAAUAAAGUCUCCAAUUGGAAGUGCUCAUCCGUUUCUGUGUUGUUUCAUAUUAAAAAAGUACAUGUCUACACUGAAUAAUUUAUUACAUAAAUAAGUUUAUAACUGGAAUAUAUUGCAUAAUUUAGAAAAGUAGUUCGUAAACCAAAAAUAUUGUUGUGCUAAUAUGUCAUUAUAGAUCAGAAUCGGUUGAAUUGUUUGUUUGUGCGUAGAUGUUACAAUUAUAUUUCCAUAUAUAUAUAUAUAUAUAUAUAUAUAUUGUAUUCAAAAUAUGGUAAUGUAUUCUGAGAUAUAGUAGUCUAAAGUUGUGGCCGUUAAAUAUUUUCAUUAAUAAAAGUUCUAGGCGGAUAAAUUGUGUGUCUAUGUUUCAGUUAGAAAUAGUGUAUCACACAUAUACUGUAUAUAGUAAGAUUCGUAUAUAUUUAGAAGUAUAACAAUUGAAUCCUUUUGAUUUUAGAAGAGUUAUAUUUCUGCCUAAUUUUAACCAUUGUACCUUUUUCACAACAUAAAAGUUGUAUUUUUUCAAAUGUUCUACCAUCAAACCUUUUCAACGUAAAAAUUUAUAUAUAUUCUGUUGUUCCUUUCCUUGACCAUUUUUUAUUUGGCUGUAUGUGUGAAGUUAAUUAAUAUAUAAUAAAUAGUCAAUUUCAAUGAGUUUUUUUAUGCAAAUUUUUCACAAUUUUAUUUUUUUUUAAAAGUGAAAGAAGAAAAGUUAUCUGGUUAAGAUUUUUUUUUUCGGUAAACAAUCAGAAUUUUAUUAAUAUCAAUCGGCCAUGAAGGCUUUAAAACAUAGUUUUAAACUAAAAAGUGUGCUUUUUGGUUACUUUUGUCAGAAGAAGAAAACCAAUGUGCGUUGUAAAAAGCAACAGACAAACUCUAGACAUUGACGAAUUGAGAAACAAAUGUCAAUACCAGAACAAAACUCUUUCACAUGGAGAGACAUAUAACGCCCAUGAAGUCACGAACGCAUAAAAAACUCGGGUUUUCUUUUUUAAUGAGAUCAUGAUGGAGAUAAAAGGAACAACCAUGACUUAUAAUGGGAAGACUGAAGCACUUUACGGAAUGGACGUGAAUCAAAACAAACAUUAUCACCAAAUUAAUGAAUUUAAUGAUGCUAUGGUUAUGGAACUAACUGUAAGAAGGAAGUUAGAAUAAAAAUGAAAGGGUGUGAGAAAUGAUUGCAAGAAAAGUUUAAUGUCGAGACAUUUCACUGAUUUUUUUUGUGAGAAUAAAGAGAUACAAAAGUGAAGAGACAAAAAAAAAAAAAAAACUAAAAUGCAGUGACCGACACGUCGGCCGGAAAAUUCAGGAAGGAAGGGUCAUCUUUAAACUAAUUGGUGUUAUUGAAUUGGGUAAUUUAAUAGAAUUGAGUGGAAUUUAAAUUCAUACCUAAAUCUAGUGUUAUUGGAUUGAGUAUUUGGUAAAUAGAAUUCAAAUCCAUUGAAAACCCCUGUUAUUCAAUAUUUUUUAGAAUUCAGUUAUGGUGAAUUUUAAUGGAAUUCAAUGGAUCUUUUUAACUAAAACAAAUCCUACCUUUUUUAUUAAUAUAUUGAAGGAAACGUGACUUGGAUAUAUUUCCAUCAAAUACUUGCAUACUUAAAUUCCAAUACUUAUUCCAAUUACCCAAUUCAAUAACACCCCCUAAAUAUUGCCAACAAAGAAUUGUAGGAAGGGUCAUCUUUAAAUUAAAUGUUGCCAACAGAGGUUAUAGGUUGUGUUUUCAUCUUUAAAUUAUGUUUUUACAUCUUAAAAGUUACAUUGAUUUUAAAAAGUCAAAAUAUAGGCCUUUUAAAAAAAUUCAAAAUAUAUAAGUAUGUAUCAUUUCAUCUAAUAACGUGUCUUAUAAUUUUAAUAAUUAUGUUUUUGAAAAAUUGUUUAAAUUUCUGAGAAUGUGUCUCUUUAUUCUAACAAUUGCAUUUGUUAACAAGAAAAUGUUUAAAUGUUUAAAAAUGUAUUUUUUUUUAUAAUGACGUGUGUUUUCUUCUUAAAAUGCAAUAGUUUUUAAUCAGUUGUGAAUCUGUGUAGAGAAAGGUUUUUCUAAGAUAAUCACAUGAAUUAAUAGAUAAUUAUAGGAAAUUUUUUAAGUAGUUUAUAUAAUUUAUCUCUAGGUUUGCUUCUGUUUUUACGAGAGUGUGAAAUGAUUUAAAAUAUGUAUUUUAUCAUAAAAAUUAUUUUUUAAAGAGGUUUAUUUAAAAUGUUUUAGAAUGUCUCUUUUUAUAAGGAUGUGUCUUUCUGUCUUUAAAAAUGAAUAGUUUCUAAAGGUUUUAAAAUGUCUAUAUAUAUAUCUAAUUAUCCUAUAAAUUGUGUAGGUUAUUAUGAGUUAUUUCUUGUCUAACAUGUGUACGUUCAUUAUAAAAAUUGCUUUGGUAUUCAAGCAGUUGAAAAUUGUAUUACGUUUUCAUAUAUGCAUAAGUCUUAUCAUCCUACAACGUGUCUUUUCAUACUAAAAAUUAUGUGUCUAUAAAUGUGUCUUUUCAUCCUAACAAUAUGUUUUUCAUGUGAUUUUUCAUCUUAAUAAAUAUAGGUAAAAAUAUUUUGUGCAUCAUUUUGUUAUAUGUGCUAUUUUUUAGUGAAUCACUAUUACACGUAAAUUGGAGAGGAUUAUUAGCAAUUUAAGUAAAUUUUUACAUCAGUUUAAGUUAAUCAUUAUAAGUGUUUGGUGGAACAGUUACAACUUCUUAAAUGAAACAUUGCCUGUUGGUGUUGGUGGAUUUAAUUUUUAGUGAUGAACCAUUGCAAUUGUUGUUGAUUGUAGUCUUUUGGUGAUAAAUCAUUGCAACUUUUGGUGUUAACCAACCAUUGCAACCCUUAAUCCUCUUUAUACGGUGUUGUUGGCAAUGAUAAAUCACAACAGUCACAUAUAGACUAAAAAUUAGAGAUGCUUCGUCUAAAAUUUAUCAAAAAUAAUGAUAUGUUUUUAUUUCUCUUAUUCAUUUAAAAUAUUUGUAUUGAUAUGUUUUUGGUUAUUUUCUUACUUUUACUUAUACUAUACAUUUUUAAAAUAUCUCAAAAGCUUAUGGAUAUGUUUUUUUUCUCUUUUGUGACAAAUAAGCUUCUUUGAAAACAAAAAUGAGAUACUUUGUAUAAAAUUAUAAAUUAUACAGUGGUAAAUAUUUUUUUAAAUAAAAUGAGUUCAUGAUAAUAACUUAAAACAUGCAUAAAAUUUUCAAUGUAUUUUCAAUGUGUGUUUGCUUUUACGAAUUUGUUAAAUUCUUUUAGUUGCGGUGAAUUUUCAUAUAACAAUUGAAAUAGUUUAUGAAUAUUUAUUUUGUUAAUUAUCAAUUUUAUCUAUAUUUAAUCAAAUUUUAUUUUAUUUUACAUGCAAAAGAUGCAUUUGUUUAUUCAAUGAUUUUUUUUCUGUUAAAUACUCGAAACAUGAUAGAAUACAUUUUAGGACCAAAAUAGGUUGAAUAAUUUUUGAUACAUUUAUAAAGUUUUCUACUGCAAUAUUUGAAUAUUUAUUUUUAUAAAAUGAGUUCCCGUGCGACAUCGCACGGGUUUCUUACCUAGUCCUUAUAUGAUUAAACAAAUACAAUAUAUCCCUCACUAAUCUCAAUACCCUUCAUCUUUUAAUGAAAAUAUGAAAACCCGAUUUUACCCUUAUUCAUUUACAAAAUUCUUCUUUUUAACUAUAAUAAUUUUCAAAUUUUCAAAUUUUAUAAAAAUAUGUCUCCAAGACCAAAAAUCCAAUAAAUAUUAUAAAAUUGAAAUAAAUUCAAUAAAAUUAUAAAAAGAAAGUGUCAACAGAAAAUGCAAUAAAAUAAUCUCCAAAGCAUGAAUCCGAUAUGAAUCACUCUUGCUUGUCCAUUUCACCUAAAAAGGAGAAGGAGGGCAAGUAACAUGGGAGUCACUCUGUGAGAUAUGGAUGCUAAACACACAAACCAUUGACUUAGAUAUGAAACUCUAAUCAUGGAGUCUAUCCCUAACACGAACACGCAUGUCGCCUAAUGCGUAGCAAAAAGACAGGAAAUACGCUGAUAGUACAUAUAUAGCUAGUCUCUGCAACCUAUGUUCUCCUCAUAUACAAACUUGUGUAUACACAAAGUAUGUGGGGGUGUAAAAGUCCCUCUCCACACAUCCAAAUUCCCUUCGUAUACAUCGCUAUGUAGUACAUAAAUCCCUCUUUGUACUUCUGCAGCUCAUAUGUGGUACAUAAGUCCCUCUAUGUACUCACGUAUGCUAAAAUAAGUGUAGUAAAAAAGUUCUUUCUUGUACUCCUACAUUCUCAUGCGUAGUAUAUAAGUCUCUCCUUGUACCCCUGCAAUCUACACACAAAGCAUCAGUCGUCACUAUGAACUUGUUGUUAUAGUCGGGUUGUAGGAAUGUUUUUUUUUAAUUAGUGGAGACAUAAAAAUAUGUGUAGCACCACUAUUAAUUAUCACAACGACACUUAAUUUCCAAAUAUUUCCUCUGAUCUUUGUUUUUGUUGGAGUAGACCAUCCCGAAAAUGAGUGUAAUGAUAACUCCAUCACUUCUGUUAUAUCUCGUUGACCAUUCUCUUGGGCAUCAUGAAAGUCUUCCUCAUGCAUUUCCAUAUCACAUCUCUUAGCCAUAAUCAUGACUUGCAAUUGUUUGUUCUUACUAACAUGUGUCUUAGACCAUUUAUCUGGACAUUUAAAACAAAGACCAUUCCAUCUCUUGAAGUCACAUCAGAGAACCUUAAUUGACUGCAUGAUCUUGUUGCUUAUUAGGCCAAGUUUUAUCCCAUGGUUUUGGUUGUACUUCCGAUAGUGGUUGUCUAGACUUCCAUCCUUGUGAAUUUCCCACAGGUACUGUACAAAGAGAUUGACCUGCAGCUUUGCUUUGGUUACAAACAUCCUGACUCUUCAUCGAAGUAAACAUCCUACUAAUUCAUCAAUGUCCUCUAUCUUGAUAACAACUGCGAUGUGUCCUGUUAAGGUAUGAGGUUCUUUGGUUUUAAUAAUCUCUUUCAUUUAUUUCUUCAGUUUAUUAAAGAAAAUGUCAAUCAAGUGUUCUUCAUCCACUUUUACCUGAGAAGCCAACUCUUGAAACUCUCAAAACAUAUUCAGAAAUUGUCACCAGUUAUUGUAUACCGAAAAAAUUCUUCCCUGGAGUUUUCUCAAACGAUUACAAACCUUGCUAACAUUCCUUUUUUGAACUCAUUCCAAUCCGCAAACGGUCUAUUUUCAGUCUCAUAAUUGUACCAGCUUAAGGUGUCUUCCUCUAAACUCAUUGAUACUAUAUCCAUUCGAGCUGACUGUUGUAAUGCAAAAUCUAAAAAUAUCUCUCAGCUAUUGCUAACCAACCAUACGGAUGUUGGAUAAUUCCAAGCUUGUAGAAACUUAACAUAUUAUUAGAUGUUAAGAUGUUAAGAUGUUAAGAUAAACAUAAUAAGGAAACCUAGAAAUAGAAAAAUGAAGUUUCUAUUUAGGUUAUGUUAGGUUUGUGUUUUUCAUAUUCCACAUGUUAAAGGGAAUUGUCUUUCAUAUAAAUAUAGGUCUAAUGGAAAGGUGUUCCAUAAGAUCAAUACGAUUAAAAUAAGAUCAAAGAGUGAAAUGUUGAGAGCUUUAGUUUUGAGUAGUUUCUAAAGCUAAUAAGAAAAGUUGUUCUUAUAAUUCUUUGUUUCCUAAGAGAUUUGAAUUGGUAUCAGAGCCUCAGGUUGGAGACUCGAUCUAAGCUUAAGUUGUAGCUUAAGAUCCUGGUGCUUGUGAACAAGAUAUCACGUAACGAAGAUGGAGGACGUGACAAGGGCUCCACGCACGAAGGACUUUGGAUCUACAUCCAUUCAAUGUCCGAUGUUGUCAUUGACAAACUACACAGUUUGGUCGAUGAGGAUGAAGGUUCUACUUUGUGUUCAUGAAGUGUGGGACACGAUCGAAUCCGGUUCAGAUGAUCAAAAGAAGAACGAAGUUGCGAUAGCUCUUUUGUUUCAAUCUGUUCCCGAGACUUUGAUUUUCCAGGUGGGAUAACAAACCGCAUCAAAAGAGAUCUGGAACUCCACCAAGUCGCGACACCUAGGAGCUGAUCGUGUAAGGGAGGCGAGACUUAAGACGUUGAUGAUGGAGUUCAAUAGGUUGAAGAUGGAUGAUUCAGAUACGGUCGAUGACUUCGCGGGAAAGAUAUCAGGCCUAUCAUCCAAAGAAACCUCUUUGGGAGAAACCAUAGAAGAAUCCAAGAUGGUCGAGAAGUUCUUGAAGGGUCUUCCGAGACACAAGUAUAUCCAGAUCGUAACAUCGCUUUAGAAAGUCCUAGACCUCAACUCGACGGGUUUCGAGGAUAUAGUUGGAAGGCUUAAGGCGUACGAGGAGCGUGUAGGAGAAGAAACUCAGAAAAAAAGACCAAGAGAAGCUGAUGUUUUCGAACAAUGAAGAGCAUAGUUAGAGGGGCUAUGAGAAUUCCCCUGGUAGAGGAAGAAGACAGAACGGUAGAGGCAGAGGUCGAGGUAGGUCACACAACCAAAACCUUGCGUCACACACCAAAGAUAACAACUCGAAGAAGAAUCGUUCAAAGCUGAUAUGUUGGAGAUGUGACAAGUCUGGUCACUACGCAAUUGUCUGUCACGAGAAGACAGAGAAGAAUCAAGAAACCAACCUAAACGAGACAGAAGAGGCCGAUGCACUGGUGUUCUUGAACAAAGAUAAGGUGAUUCCGAAGAAUCUUGAUAUCGACAAAGGCAAUUCAAGUGUCUGGUAUUUGGAUAAUGGAGCGAGCAAUCACAUGAUGGGAAACAAGGAGUUCUUUUCGAGUUUGAAUCUCAACACCAAAGGGAAGGUGAAGUUUGGUGAUGGAUCGUGUGUUGACAUUGUAGGAAAGGGUGUGGUUACUUUUGUGUGCAAGACUGGAGAGAAGAAGGCACUCAAAGACAUAUACUAGAUACCCGACCUAUUGAGUCUUGGGCAAGCAACAGAGAACAUAUGUGAGGUUAACAUGAAAGAUGUCUACUUAACGCUCACAGAUUCGCAUGGAAGGUUGCUAGUUCGUGUGACAAGAUCUCCAAACCGUCUCUACAAGACCUCUAUGAAGAUAUGCUACAUGGAGUGUUUACAUGCCAGAGACGUAGAUGCUACAUGGAGGUGGCAUGCUUGACUAGGACAUAUAAGCUAUGGAGUGAUGAACAACAUGGUAAGGAAGGAGAUGGUCGUAGGAAUGUCGUGUGUAACUAGUAAUGUCAAAUGGGUGGGCUAUAAAUGGGUGGCCCAUGUCCAAAUAGAUAUGGUCCGAAAUGGACAGGCCCAUAUUGAACCAUAAAUAUUUUUUGUCUAAAUGGGUGAACCCAACUACAUACAUGGCCAAAUUUGGGUUUAACCAGUUGGGCAAUGGGCGGCCCAAUAAGCUUAAAUGUCUAGCGUUAGGAAAUUGGGGGAAAACACGAUUUCCUUUUUUUUUUCCGUCUCCUACGAUUCUUCUUCUUCUCCUGUGAUUCUUCUUCUCCUUCUUCGAUUUUCCUUCUCCUUCUUCGAUUCUUCUUCGCUCUUCUUCGGUUCUUCUUCGCUCUUCUUCGAUUCUUCUUCGUUGUCUCUGAUUUCGUCAUCUCUCGAGGUAGUGGAAAAUCAUCUAGUUUGAAGCUGAUAUUGUUGUUGCUGUUGUUGCUGUUGCACCUCCCCUUCCCUAUUGCAUUUGAUUGACAAA